AUUGGGAAACGCUACCACAAAUCCGAUUGUAAAGAUUCAAAUCUUCAGAUAUUUCCUCCAUUUGUACCAUAGCGCAAGAUUUUCGCUGCUUCCGACCCUCUUCGCGCGUUGAUGGGUGUUGAUCCUAGUAUUAGAGUUAAAGUUUGGCCAUUCCUACUUGGAGUUUGGGGCUGGAUUGUAGUGUAUGAUAACUUGUCAAAACAGCUUUGGGAUAUUAUGAAACAGAACUAGAAUGCCACUCAAAUGUGUUGAAAUGGCGAUAGAGCAUGCCCAAAAUUUGCAUUAGGCAUUUCUGUUUGGUGUUAUAAACAUGCA